ACUAGUACAGUAUAGGUGAGUAAAGGGGAGUAAAGGGUAGUAUAGGAUUGUAUAGGAUAGUAUAUUGUGUAUAAGCUAGUGUAUAUUAGUAUAGUAUAGGUGAGUACAGGGGAGUAAAGGGUAGUAUAAGAUUGUAUAGGAUAGUAUAUUGUGUAUAAGCUAGUGUAUAUUAGUAUAGUAUAGGUGAGUACAGGGGAGUAAAGGGUAGUAUAGGAUUGUAUAGGAUAGUAUAUUGUGUAUAAGCUAGUGUAGACUAGUAUAGUAUAGGUGAGUAAAGGGGAGUAAAGGGUAGUAUAGGAUUGUAUAGGAUAGUAUAUUGUGUAUAAGCUAGUGUAGACUAGUAUAGUAUAGGUGAGUACAGGGGAGUAAAGGGUAGUAUAGGAUUGUAUAGGAUAGUAUAUUGUGUAUAAGCUAGUGUAGACUAGUAUAGUAUAGGUGAGUAAAGGGGAGUAAAGGGUAGUAUAGGAUUGUAUAGGAUAGUAUAUUGUGUAUAAGCUAGUGUAGACUAGUAUAGUAUAGGUAAGUACAGGGGAGUAAAGGGUAGUAUAGGAUUGUAUAGGAUAGUAUAUUGUGUAUAAGCUAGUGU